AUGCAAGUCGAACGAUUCCUGUAUCUUCGGAUACAGGGAGUGGCAAACGGCUGAGUAACGCGUAGGAACCUACCCCAAACUCGAGUAUAGCCCCGCGAAAGCGGGGGUAAUCCUCGAUAGCCCGUGAAGUAUUUUACUUCACGGUAAAGCUUUUGCGGUUUGGGAUGGGCCUGCGUCCUAUCAGGUAGUUGGUGAGGUAAAUGCUCACCAAGCCUAUGACGGGUAGCUGGUCUGAGAGGAUGGUCAGCCAGACUGGGACUGCGACACGGCCCAGACUCCUACGGGAGGCAGCAACUAGGAAUUGUGCGCAAUGGACGAAAGUCUGACGCCGCGACAUCGCGUGGAGGAUGAAGGUCUUCGGAUUGUAAACUCCUUUUCUUACCGAACAAGUUCUGAGUGUAGGUAAGGAAUAAGUGCCUGCUAACCACGUGCCAGAAGCAUCGGUAAUACGUGGGGCACGAGCGUUAUCCGGAUUUACUGGGCGUAAAGAGAAGCGUAGGCGGCUCAAUAAGUUUGGUGUUAAAUCUUCCGGCUCAACCGGAAACAAGCACCGAAAACUAUCGAGAUUGAGUCGAGUAGGGAAGAGGGGAAUUCCUGGUGGAGCGGUUAAAUGCGUAGAUAUCAGGAGGAAUACCAAGGGCGAAGGCACCUCUUUGGACUCGUACUGACGCUGAGGCUCGAAAGCGUGGGUAGCAAAACGGAUUAGAUACCCGUGUAGUCCACGCCGUAAACGAUCCCUGUUAG
rnacentral:rRNA from 1 species